CAAGAGAAGAGCACUUACUAAUUUCCCACAAAGCAGAGGAAAUUAUCUGCACCAUCAAACAGAGGUGCCACUGCAGUGCUAAUGAUGGGGGGUGUAUUAAUAGAUAACAAAAGAAAUAGAUCUUUUGUUUCCCUGGAUAGACACAGAUUCACUUUGCCAUUUUUGCACAUAUAGCCACUGUGUUUGAGACUAAAUUAUUCAUACUUCGGGACCCCUCAGAAAGAUUGCCAAUGACUAUGAUUCCACCUUUAUUUUAUGGGUUUUCAGAAACAAAGCUAAGAUCCUCUGGGGACAGGAUGC
rnacentral:lncRNA from 1 species